rnacentral:lncRNA from 1 species
ACUGUGUAUGGACAGGCAAAUGCUCAGUCACCACCAGGAAAGCAGGGCUCUGGUAACAGAGACUUGGGAAGACAAACACUGCCUCUCUGAACACAAACCCCUUCCUUCUCCUCCCCACAGCACUCCAUACUGAGCAUGAUGCCUUCUGGAAUAUCUCUUUGUUCAUCUGGGAUCGAGUGUCCCAGCUGUGUUCCCCCAGUUCCUUGUCCACCCCCAGCCUCCGGACUGAAUGGACAACAUGAGGAACAGCAAAGGCCCUGGCAUUGUGUAAACACUGUUGAGCAAUAACAAAAACACCCCUGUGUUUUCAGCCUGGUGUUCAGCACAAAUCCAAAACACCGCCCACACCAGACCCUGGGAAGAAAACGAACAUGAUUCCAGAAAAAAAACAGUGCAGAGAACCUGCAUCUGUAACAGCUUGGAUUCAAGGAGCAGGAAGCAGCUGGAAGGGUGCAAAUGCUGGGGGUAAAUCUACUCCUAUCCCUUCAACAGCCAGCUCAGCCCGCUCCUGCUCUGUUCUGUAAAGUGGAAAGUAGCAGUGUGUUUCAAUAAAACCACCAGCUGCUCAAAACCAGUUAUCAAUGUCUAUCAAUAUACAAGACCUGGAGUGUGAGCUUCCUUCAGACAUUUUUCCAAGUAAAAGUUGCAUUCCUGAUUUCUGUACUUUAGUAGAAUGGGUUGAUCCUUAUUCUGGCUCUAAAAGGAAUGAAAGACCAAAGUCAGAGAGAGAUAGACAGAUUUGAUGUUUUUUUCAAAUGAGAAACAAAAAAUCCAAUCUUUUACUACUGAAAUAAAUAAUUAAGUCUUAUUAAUUAAUAACUGAUAAUUAACUAUUAAUUAGUAAUUAUUCAUAAAUAUAAUUGCCAAUUUUAAAAUUCAUUAUUAUUAUUGUAUUUGUGGACAUCCCCAUCCUUCUUAAUGUCUGAUAUCUGUCCUUGAAUACUCUGAUUUGAAGUUCACCUCAUCUUUGCAGAAUUACACAUUCUGAUACAUUCAGUUGGGCCAUCACAUACACAGAUGCCAUUCAAUGCCACUAAAAUUUAGAUACUUGCUGGCAUUCAGCAAAAUACUAACUGCUUCUGGAAACUUACAUAAUUUGCAGUCUUUGCUAAAGAAAUGGAACCUGCUGGCACAUGCUGUGUUAAUUCUAACACAUAAUAUCAAAAAUCACUUAUGUGUUCUUUGUUUAGAUCUGCUUCCCUGUGUCUAAACAGGGCCACACACAAUAGGAUUUUCGUUGUGAUAGCAGUGUCUCAAAGCCAUCACAUCAUGUAUGUAAUAUUCAUAAAGUUAUAAUUUUAUUCCAAGCAUGUCAAAGUCCAGAAUUCAUACUGCAUGUAAGACAGCACAAUUGCUCAAAACAAUGGACUGGGAAAGGGAAGAGCCAGACCUUCAAAAGCACAAACCCUCCAACAGCUAGUGAAUUAUUUUCUGAAAACACCUAAUCUUUAAAUAGCUGCAGUUUGCAAGAGCUAUGCUCAAACAGUUUAGAAUGUUUUUGGAAGGUUAGGAAAAACAAUUGAAGUACAGCAAACACCAUAGUCCAUAGCUCAUGAAUCACCAAAAUACACUCCUGGAGAAAUCAAGACUUGUAAUAAAAUAUAAGGUCUUUUUUAGAAGCAGCAAAUAAAAAGGAAAAAAAAAAAAAGAAAAAUAAGUAUAACCCAUCAAAUGUUACAAGGUCCAUUCGAAUUAACCCUUCACUGAGCAUUAAAAAUAUGGAACACAUCAAUUUUUCCAUAUUUCUCCUUUUAUAAGUGGCAUAUUCUGAGUGACUCAUGCCUGCAUUUCCCAGAGUAUUAUUCAAUAAAGCAUAUUCCUGCAAAUCUAUAAAUUUCUGCUCUCAGAUCAAGAGCUAAUGGCUUCAGUCCAAUAUAUCCAUAUUCUGGAUAGGGAUAUUCCCUUACAUAGGCAAUCUUGCUGGCAAAUGAAUGAAACUGUCAUGAAUUCAGGUUUAAGGAAUAUGUGUAGAGAAGCUUUGGGAAGAUUGGGGAAAUUUUCUGGAAAGAAAGAACAGCUCAUACAUUAUGCAGCCUUUGUAAGAGUGAGGUGUGGACUCUGAGUGAGUAAGUGGAUGCAUGCUUGGGAUUUCUCAUAGCCCUGCUAAGGCUUCCAGAGUUCUCAGAAGGACUGGUCCCACUAUGUAGGGCUCUUGCUAUCCACUGCUCUCACUGGAUUUUUAAGGAAUCAACCAGCAGGAUCAGAGCUAAGUAUAGCUUCACCUCCUGCAUUUCUCAUCAGCAUAGGCAAUAAUUUUUUUUCCUGAAAGUACCUACUUAUUACCAGAAUUUAAAAUCUAAUGGCACAAAGAACUUUGCUCCUCUUGUUAUAAGUAGGUGAGUACUGGGGAAAAAAAAAAAAAAAAGAUGCUGAAGAAUAAAGCUGUGUUUUUCAGCAAGUGUAGUUUUGAUUAGCUCCACUGGCCAUGUGUUAAUGGUGAAUGGGGCACAAAGAAGUCUGUGUCUCAUUACAUACUCUCUGCAGGUCCUCCAUGGAUUAAGUACACCAGAUAUUUGAACUCCACAAGUCUCUAAUAAAAACAUUCUCAAGAUGCUGGGUCA